rnacentral:rRNA from 1 species
AUUGAACGCUGGCGGCAGGCCUAACACAUGCAAGUCGAACGAGUGGCGGACGGGUGAGUAAUGUAUGGGAAACUGCCUGAUGGGGGGGGAUAACUAAUGGAAACGGUAGCUAAUACCGCCUACCAUCCGAUGAGCCCAGAUGGGAUUAGCUUGGUGGUGGGGGAACGGCUCACCAAGGCGACGAUCACUAGCUGGUCUGAGAGGAUGACCAGCCACACUGGACCGGAGACACGGUCCAUACUCCUACGUGAGGCAGCAGUGGGAAAUAUUGCACAAUGGGCGCAAGCCUGAUGCAGCCAUGCCGCGUGUAUGAAGAAGGCCUUCGGGUUGUAAAGUACUUUCAGCGGGGAGGCGUUACCCGCAGAAGAAGCACCGGCUAACUCCGUGCCAGCAGCCGCGGUAAUAC